rnacentral:rRNA from 1 species
GAUUUCUGACCUGAAAUAUUAGACCGGCCACGGUUUCGUGUGUUAGUGUUUAAUAUUCUAGUCAUCCUUCCAAUUUUAUUUUGUUUAUCUUCAUUGGUAGAUAAAAUAAAUUGGAUCUUUUACUUUGAAAAAAUUAGAGUGUUUCAAGCAGGCUAUAUAUGCUAUGAAUACAUUAGCAUGGAAUAAUAAUUUAGGACUUCGGUUCUAUUUUGUUGGUUUCUAGAACUGAAGUAAUGAUUGAUAGGGAUAGUUGGGGGUGCUAGUAUUCAGCGGCCAGAGGUGAAAUUCUCGGAUUCGCUGAAGACUAACUUAUGCGAAAGCAUU